UUUUUUUUAUUUUGCCAUUUGAUUACAGACUUUCCAUGUUUUGAAUUUUCCUAGGGUUUCGGUAUUUUUGUUAUUUUACCUCUUUUAUAUUUUUAAAUAAUAACCUAAAACAAACAACAACACAUUACUAUAUAUAAUGACUUUAUUUUUGUCUCUUAGUAGCUAUGAUAAAUAUACAAUAUGUCUUGAGACGGAAUGGAAAAUGAUGUGCUGAUAUCUUAUAUUGAAAGAACUCCUACCCUAUCAGGACACUCUAGUUCCUUGAUAAGACCCUACCUUUUGAAACAUGCAUUUAAAAAAAAUUGCUUUCACUAAGACCUGGGAAACAGUGAUCCAUUUCACAAAAAAUCUUACAAAAAAAGUUUGUCAAAAUUCAUGAACAAUUCAGUAUACUUAAAAUUCCUGAAAUGAUGCAUCCAUAAUUUUUCUUAAAACACACUAGGUUAACACUUAAUAAUAUACUAUAACAAUGUGUGUGUAGAAAAAAGAAAAAUUUGAAUAGAUCUUCACUUUAAGUAUCCUAUUACAUAGAAGUGAACAAAAUGGUAUGUUUCCACAACUUUUGGCAGAUCUGUUAAUUGUUGUGACAAAUGCUGAAAACGUUGCGGCAACAAUUAUCUAAAUUUUUAGGUAUGCAAUUACCUCAAAAAUUUACUUGGACAAUUAUGUGUUACUUUUAGAAAAUUUGUACUAUCUGUUCAGUAUUUGGCAGUAAAUGUGCUUAUCAUAUCAAACCUGUCUUCUAACAGGGGGACAAUUUAAUGUUUUUUUUUCUAAUUUACUGACAAACAGUUGCAAGUUUUUUUAACAGUUAGGUUUAAAAGCUAUAAAUAUCAAAAACUGAUUAAUGAACUUUAAACAUUUAAAACCAUCAAUAAUGAUAUCAUACCUUCUACUCUAUGGAAGAUCAAUUUUCUUUGGUAAUGACACUAUAAAAGAACUUGAUCGAUGUUCUUGUAUGUAAAAUGUGUUGAUGAAACAAAAUAAUUUUCAUCUUUAAUACAUAAUUAUUUAAAAUAAUUUUUGACAUUUCCUUACAGAGUUGAAUAACAAUUAUCACCAGAAUAAAAUAAAAUUGUAAAUGAUGGCUUUUUUUGGCCAUUUUCUAAACUAAUCUGUUCACUUGUGCCAAAAUAUAUUAUUUUAAUCUAAAAACUGGAUAAAGUUGAAAAUAUUUUGCUUCAUAAACCCAUUUUUAUACAAAGAAAAUUACAAACAACAAUUUUCAUAUAACUGGUAUAAAAUAUAAUGCUUUUGAUUUUUAAGAUUUGGCAUUUCAUAAUUAUUCAUCACAGUUUGCCGUGGACAAGCAAUAGAAAAUAAAAAGGUAAAGCUUAAUAAUCUUACACCUAAUAUAUUCAACUGAAUACCAAAACUCACAUAGGCAUAUGUAAAAUAAUUCAAGUUUGAAACUUGGAAUAACUUAAAAACAGUUUGUCAGAGAUGAAAAUGUUUGCAGAAUAAACAUAAUUAUAGCAAAUGUUUGAAACUUGGGUUGAUUAAAGCAGUUAGUAAUAUAUGAAACAGUUUGCAGUAAAAACUGAACUAUAGCAAAUUGUUAAUAAAGUAGAAUAACGGAGGGAUUUGUUUAAUAAACACAAUAACCACAACAUCUCUUUGUACAAUGAUAUACAACAAUAUCACAUAAUACAACUAAAAUUACUGGAAUGUUAAAACAAAGCACAACCUUUAUAUCACAACACAUAAAUUUCUUAUCAUAAAAAAUAUUUAUAGUACUGUUGAUUCAUUGUUAUUCAGUGGAUACAAAUUUUCUUGGAUUUCUUGGGUAAAGUUGAACCAUGAAUUUAAGGGGGAGACCUUGGUUCAUGGAGAUAACUCUUUAAAUCAGUUAUGUGUUUGUAAAAGUCAAGUAUCAUCAAUGUAUUUUAAUCAUUUACCUGAAACAGAUUGAAAAUAAUCUAUGUAACCUAGAAACUUAGAAUAUAUUUAUGAAAAUGGUUGACACAAACGUACUGAUGAUUUUAAGAGUUAUUUCCCUUAAACUAGGUCUAUCUCCUAAAGUCUUCAUUGCAGACUUUGCUAAAGCAAUGAAAUUAGAUAUCCAAGAAAAUGCAAAUUUUCCUUAAUCCACGGAAAUUUGUACCCACAAAAAUAAGAUGAAUCCACAGUAUAACCAAUGAAAAGUUUGAGAGUUUUCUCUCUAUAUCAGAUUAUAUUUCACUAGAUCAACCUAUAUAUACUGCUUAAAUCUCCACUUGAAUACCCAUCAAAAACCAAACAAGAACGUGUUCAUAGUACAAAGAUGCCCCAACCAUACUUAGCAUUUUUUAUGUUCGGUGAACCAAGAUAUUGGGGUCAAAACUCUAAUUUAGCAUUCAAAUUAGAAAAAUCAUAUCAUAGGGAAGAUAUGUUCUAAGUUUCAAGCUGAUUGGACUUCAACUUAAUCAAAACUACCUUGAUUAAAAACUUGACCAAAAACUUUAACCUGAAGCGGGCCAGAAAAAAAAUCAUAUUGCCCUUACUGGGGCAUAAAAUGUAUUCCUUUAAAGAUUCCUAACAAGCAGAUCCAUAUAGACAAGAAGAUUGUAUGAAAUUAAACAUCAAUGGUUCAACUUUUGAUUAAAGAUUGCACCUUCAAUCAUAAAGACAAACCUAUCUUAUCAGAGAAGAUUUAACAGCUGAACUAAUGACACUACUAAACACUCCAGAAUGGAUACAAUAAAUUGCUUAAUGAAACUUACUUAAACUUUUGGCAAUAUGUUCCAAUUUGAAUUAGAGAACUUGGUUAUCAUCAAGAAAUAUUUUUAAACGUACCUGUAGUGGGCUUUUGUCCAGUAUACAGUAGAUAGUAUGAUGAGAUACAAACAAGCAAAACAGUACUUAUAAGGAGUAGUUGAUGUACCUCUAAUAGGCUUUAGUGCUGCAUUUCAUAGAUAAGAGAGUGUGACAUCAAGCAGAUAUACAAUUCUUAUAAAGAGUAGUUGAUGUACCUCUAUCAGGCUUUAGUUGUGUAUUUAAUAGAUAAGAUAGUGUGACACCAAGCAGAUAUACAUUUCUUAUAAAGCGUAUUAAUUACUGUAAAAAACUUUGCUACGUAAAAACCCUUUCAAUAAGAUAGGUGGAAAUUAUUCGUAUCAAUAUAUACAAUAAUUGCUUUUGAUUUUAUACUAGAUUUUUCUCAAAGCUCAGUAUAAAAAAUUCAC
rnacentral:lncRNA from 1 species